rnacentral:rRNA from 1 species
AGUGAACGCUGGCGGCGUGCUUAACACAUGCAAGUCGAGCGAAUCUCAGCAGCGUAUCGCUGGGGUUAGCGGCAGACGGGUGAGUAAUACUUGGGCAAUCUGCCCUUUAGAGGAAAACAACCUGCCGAAAGGCGGGCUAAUGUUCCAUAAGACCACGGGAUGGCAUCAUCCAGGGGUAAAANCUCCGCAAGGGGCGCUAGAGGAGGAGCCCGAAUCCUAUCAUGGUAGUUGGUGAGGUAACGGCUCACCAAGCCUACGACGGGUAGCCGACCUGAAAGGGUGACCGGCCACACUGGCACUGAGACACGGGCCAGACUCCUACGGGAGGCAGCA